rnacentral:rRNA from 1 species
AGUAACGCGUGGGUAACCUGCCCUUAAGUCUGGGAUACCAUUUGGAAACAGAUGCUAAUACCGGAUAAAAGCUACUUUCGCAUGAAAGAAGUUUAAAAGGCGGCGUAAGCUGUCGCUAAAGGAUGGACCUGCGAUGCAUUAGCUAGUUGGUAAGGUAACAGCUUACCAAGGCGAUGAUGCAUAGCCGAGUUGAGAGGGUGAUCGGCCACACUGGGACUGAGACACGGCCCAG